AUCGCUGUAUAUUCAAAUAUAACUAUAUCAACAUAACUGAAAUAUUCUGGGUAGCCAUAUUUAUUUAUUUUAUAUUUAUUUUGUUUUUUUACCUUUACAACCUUGCAGAUUUGGACAAUACAUUACAGAGAACUGAGAUACCGCGAAAAAUAAUAUAAUCAGGGCUGGAAAUGGGGGAGGGCGUUCCAGUUUAAACCUGCGAAAGCGAGUUUCGCACGUAAGUGUAGCCGGGAAUGAGUCCAAAUACCCGGAAAUGAGUUAGCAUUUUAGCAUUUCCGGUUCUAUCGUCUUGAAGUUAGUCAUUUUUUAAGAAAUGGGUUUUUGGUUGAAUGCAUGAAAUAAGGUCUGUAGUUAACACAUGUUCUCCGACAUGAAAUACACCAGUAAUACCCCACUCAGGAUUUUUAAAAAAGGUUUUACGUGUUUUGAAAAAUACAGUUGAUAACACGUGGCUAAAUGGUACUACAGAAGUUGUCGGGGACAUUAAACGUCAUCACGCCGAACAGGAAAACUAAUCUACUACAUCCUCAUUGUGUUUAUACUCGCGCUCUUGUAAACUAUUCCAACUCAAACUUGUAGAUUUAUCAAUUUAUAGUAUCUUCCAAUUGUAGGGCAUUUACAGAAAGAUUGAAAGAGUUGUCGGAAGCUUAGUGGUGGUGACGUUGAAGUCAUGCGACCGUGGUGUAGUUCGUUUAUAGCCUCACAUUAGCUUUUUACUUCUGGCGAUUGUAUAAGGCUUAAAAUUUCAUAAAAGCUAUGUGAAGAAUAUCUUAAUGAAAAAAAACGUUUAAGAAUCAUAAACUUUUGUUGGGCUCAGUGCUUAUUUUCUGCAAUAAUCUAAUAGCUAAUUUUAAAAAAAUGUCGAGGGAAGACGCUAACUUCCGGGUUGGCCUACGGGGGGGAAAAAGCGUCAUCCCUGCAGCACUCUGCAAUGUUGACUUUUGUGAUUGGCCAGAACACCCUACAGGCUGCAGCCAAUGGGAGCGUUUCUCUUAUCAGCGCGCGACCUCACAGGACCAAUCAGACCACACCAAGGAUGUUAACCACUUCCCUGCACCAAAGGAGCACUCCACACUCCAAUCCAGUAGGUGGUGGGAAUGCACCAUUUAAGUUGGAUUGCCAUCCACCAUAAAACACCAGAAGAAGAAGAAGAAGAAGAACAAGAAGAACUUCCCUGCACCCACUUCAGGCCUUUUCAGAUAAGAUUGGACACCCCUGAACUUGAAUGUUGGGAAUCGAUUUUUAGAUACACAUGUGUCUUACAUCAAAUGCAGCACACUGGUGUUGAUUUAACUUGCAUUUCAGGCCACGGUCAAGCCAGCCAUGGUAGAAACCGGAGUGCAGUACAGUAACUACCCUUCCAAUGGGUGGAAAAGGCUGCCACCUUGUUGGUUUUGGUUAAGCAGUGUGAGCUGUGAGCUCAUGUGUGCUGUACAAUGGCGGUCGCUACACCACAGAUCUGCUAUGAAUUCUGGAUAGUGUGACAAAGUUGAGCAGUAGUGUACUUUAGACCAUUUCACUGUUAUUGUGUCCAAGCUCAUGCGGGCCAAAUGAAACAAGGCCUUGUGUUUGACAUGUGCUAUAGAAGCUAAGUAUGCAACAUGUAGAAAGGCGAGGAAAUCAGUGGCUUAUAUUUGUCAAAUUGCAACAUUCUAAUAAAAUCACUUUUGCUCAAUCAAAA